ACGAGCUCCCCCCACCCUAUUCUCUCUCCUCUCUGCUUCCUGGGUGCCUGAGCUGAGCUGCUCCCCUCUGCCACACCCUCUGCCAUGACGUUCUGCCUCCCUUCAGGCUCAGGGUUACGGAGUCACCCAAUCAUUGGCUGAGACUCCUGAAACCAUGAACCCCAAAUAAACUUUUCUUCCUUUAAAUUAUUCUAGUCAGGCCUUUUGAUCACGGUGACACCAGCAUAUCAAAGACUAUAUAUUCAGUGUAUUAAAGUCACGAAACCUCCCUUUCUCCAUGCCUUUGGAAAUCCUCUUGAACCCUGAUCCUUGGGAGCCAUGAAGGGGCCAGGCCGAGGGAGCCUUCCUAUGAAGAGCAGGACCACGACAGACUCAUCAUGCCGGGAGCCCAGGUCUGAGAAUGGGGUCCAGUUCUUCAGCCGCCACUUGCUCCUGAGUCAUGAACUAGAGAUGUUCUGGGUGAUGUUCUUGAUUUCCUUCACCUGCCUGGCAUCCAGGCAGUCCCCCAGGUCCGUUCAGUGCUGCCUGUCCCAUGUCACUUAGCUGUAUUGUCAUCUUUUGGCUCACUGCUUCGGUUCCUGCCUGGAGUCAAACCCUUACCUUCUUCUCUGAACUGCUGUGGUUUCCUCCCUGGGGGUCCUGGCCCUCUCCUCUCCUUCUCCCCAUCUCCACUCCUCUCUGAAGCUUGUCACUGCUGUUAUCUGCCUGCAAUUAUCUAUCUCAUCUUUUGGAGGUCUUCCCUGGACCCUUCCAAGGCGCUCCCUGUUCCCUUGACAUUUCCUUCUGUGAGGAUUUAAUUGCAGGUUGAGCGUCCCUAAUUCUAAAAUCUGAAAUCCAAAAUGCCCCAAAUCAGAAACUUUUUAAGCAUUUAUGUGACUCUACCAGUAGAAAAU
rnacentral:lncRNA from 1 species